rnacentral:rRNA from 1 species
CAGUAGCCACGGGAAUACGAAGGGGGCUAGCGUUGUUCGGAUAUACUGGGCGUAAAGGGCGCGUAGGCGGACUGAUAAGUCAGGGGUGAAAUCCCAAGGCUCAACCUUGGAACUGCCUUUGAUACUGUUUGUCUUGAGUUCGAGAGAGGUAAGUGGAACUGCGAGUGUAGAGGUGAAAUUCGUAGAUAUUCGCAAGAACACCAGUGGCGAAGGCGGCUUACUGGCUCGAAACUGACGCUGAGGCGCGAAAGCGUGGGGAGCGAACAGGAUUAGAUACCCGGGUAGUCCCUGUCUCUUAUAC